GACGUAGGGCGCGAGCGUUGUCCGGAAUCACUGGGCGUAAAGGGCGCGUAGGUGGUGGCUUAAGCGUGCGGUGAAAGCUCGGGGCUCAACUCCGAGUCGGCCGUGCGAACUGGGCUCACUGGAGCAUAGUAGAGGCAGGUGGAAUUCCGGGUGUAGCGGUGGAAUGCGCAGAUAUCAGGAGGAACACCGGUGGCGAAGGCGGGUCUCUGGGCCGAUACUGACGCUGAGGAGCGAAAGCGUGGGGAGCGAACAGG
rnacentral:rRNA from 1 species